GGACUCCCUGGCUCUCCCCGGGCUCCCGGCCCCCCUGCUCGCCGCAGGGCUCCCCGCCUCCCUAAGACUCCUUCCGCCCCGUCCCCGGGCUCCCCAGUCCCCUACCCAGAACCCCACUGGGCUAGGGCGCACGUGGUCCACGCCCUCAUUGGCCUCCAUCGCUGUUCCUGCCCCCCGCGCUCUGGACACAAAAAACAUGGGAUCUCUGGCAGGCUGGAGGGGUGUGGGGAGUGCUUCCCUGAGUGGGGUCAAGGUAUUGGGCGGCACCGGUUAUCGGUUACCCGGAGGCAGGACCCUGGUAGCCUCGCCUGCUCUCCGGGAGGCCCCACAAACCCGUCGCUCGUCACUCGUGGAAGCGCAUCUGCCAGUUUGGGCCAACACCUUUGACCCCCAUGAGGCUGGGGACCUGAGAACAGAGACCACCCUGGACCGCUGCCCGGCUGGCGGGCGGAUGAGCAAGACAGCCACCCAAAUGCGGGCCAUUAACAGUACAAAAAGUAACAAAACUGAAUUCACGGCUUUCUCUCCCAAGCUUUGAAAGGUAGCAGUCUGGGCUAUAAAAGUCUAAAAGCAUUGCGUAAGAAGUGUUAAAUCUACAGCAAAUACAUCUUGUAAAAACUCAAUAAAUUAUAUAUAUAGAUAUAUAUAAA